UACGUAGGGCGCAAGCGUUGUCCGGAAUUAUUGGGCGUAAAGAGCUCGUAGGCGGUCUGUUACGUCCGCUGUGAAAACCCAGGGCUUAACCCUGGGCUGGCAGUGGAUACGGACAGACUAGAGGUAGGUAGGGGAGAAUGGAAUUCCCGGUGUAGCGGUGAAAUGCGCAGAUAUCGGGAAGAACACCCGUGGCGAAGGCGGUUCUCUGGGACGGUACUGACGCUGAGACGCGAAAGCGUGGGGAGCGAACAGG
rnacentral:rRNA from 1 species